rnacentral:lncRNA from 1 species
AAAAUGUCCUGUUCUGGACAAAGAUUAAGAAUGUAAAAAUCAAGAGUUGUUCUGAGCAGAAAAGCGUGGUUUGGCUUAAAAGAUACAUGGUGUAUUAAUUACAUCUCUUUAUCAUUAUUACUUAUUUCUUGGAAUAGAAUCAUUUCUGGUUUCCUCAAAGCAAAAUAAUAUUAUUCAAUGAGUACUUCUUUAUUAUCUGUAUUUUUCUUAUUUUAGCUUUUGAGAUACUGGUAAUUACCAGAUAGUCUGCAUUUUUAAAAAUCUAAUUUUAUAAAGAAUUGUCUUGACUAUGUAGAAUACCACCUACUGGAUAUAAUCAUUUUUGUACUUAUGAACACUGCCAUUUUCUUAGAGAUGACUUGAGUAGAGUAACACUAUGAUUUAAAGCUUAAGAGUAAAAAUGCCAAACCU